GAUGAACGCUGGCGGCGUGCCUAAUACAUGCAAGUCGAGCGAACGGACGAGAAGCUUGCUUCUCUGAUGUUAGCGGCGGACGGGUGAGUAACACGUGGAUAACCUACCUAUAAGACUGGGAUAACUUCGGGAAACCGUAGCUAAUACCGGAUAAUAUUUUGAACCGCAUGGUUCAAAAGUGAAAGACGGUCUUGCUGUCACUUAUAGAUGGAUCCGCGCUGCAUUAGCUAGUUGGUAAGGUAACGGCUUACCAAGGCAACGAUGCAUAGCCGACCUGAGAGGGUGAUCGGCCACACUGGAACUGAGACACGGUCGAGACUCCUACGGGAGGCAGCAGUAGGGAAUCUUCCGCAAUGGGCGAAAGCCUGACGGAGCAACGCCGCGUGAGUGAUGAAGGUCUUCGGAUCGUAAAACUCUGUUAGUAGGGAAGAACAUAUGUGUAAGUAACUGUGCACAUCUUGACGGUACCGAAUCAGAAAGCCACGGCUAACUACGUG
rnacentral:rRNA from 1 species